CCUACGGGAGGCAGCAGUGGGGAAUAUUGCACAAUGGGGGAAACCCUGAUGCAGCGACGCCGCGUGAGGGAAGAAGGUAUUCGGUAUGUAAAGCUCUAUCAGCAGGGAAGAAAAUGACGGUACCUGAGUAAGAAGCCCCGGCUAACUACGUGCCAGCAGCCGCGGUAAUACGUAGGGGGCAAGCGUUAUCCGGAUUUACUGGGCGUAAAGGGAGCGUAGGCGGCAGUGCAAGUCUGGAGUGAAAGGCGGGGGCUCAACCCCCGGACUGCUGUUGAAACUGUACGGCUGGAGUGCAGGAGAGGUAAGUGGAAUGCCUGGUGUAGCGGUGAAAUGCGUAGAGAUUAGGAGGAACACCAGUGGCGAAGGCGGCUUACUGGACUGUAACUGACGUUGAGGCUCGAAAGCGUGGGGAGCAAACAGGAUUAGAUACCCCUGUAGUC
rnacentral:rRNA from 1 species